AAUGAGUGAUGACGGUAAGUUUUGGUCCCAGAUGAAGAGCAGUGAUUACUCUUAUGAGAUCUACUGACAUU